rnacentral:misc_RNA from 1 species
UGGUGUUUGGGAUGUGAGUGUUGGCAGGCUCCGUGCUUCAAUGCAUCGAACUGCCGACCCUCAGUCCUUUUUCAGUCUCUCCCCCGCGGUCGUCGUGCCCGGGGCGAGCCAUCGGGAUCCUGUUAUGCUUACCUAUUGCCGACGGAAUUCGGUUGUCGUGCCCUCUCUCGUUCGUCUCGCGCCCUUAGGGGCUUCGGGGUGGACUUCGUUCGUGCGCCGUGCUCCGAGUGUGCCCCCGAAUUUGGUGUGGCGGCCUCGGUGCAUCGGUGUUCGAACGUGCUUGCGGAUGCGGAAAUCUCUGUGUGCGCGGGGCCAUGCCCCUUUUCGUUGAUGCGAUGCGAUCUGUCCCUCGGCUCGUACGACGCUCGUGCCCGAUCAUGGACUCUCCGUUGCCCGUGCGGCGCGUUGAGGCCCAUGCGGUGCCGACGUCGCGAAUGAAUGCUACCUGGUUGAUCCUGCCAGUAGUCAUAUGCUUGUCUCAAAGAUUAAGC